GACGAACGCUGGCGGCGUGCUUAGCACAUGCAAGUCGAACGGAAAGGCUCCAGCUUGCUGGAGUACUCGAGUGGCGAACGGGUGAGUAACACGUGGGUAAUCUGCCCUGCACUCUGGGAUAAGCCUGGGAAACUGGGUCUACUACUGGAUAUGACCUUUCUCCUUAUGGGGUUUGGUGGAAAGUUUUUCGGUGUAGGAUGAGCCCGCGGCCUAUCAGCUUGUUUGUUGGGUGAUGGCCUACCAAGGCGACGACGGGUAGCCGGCCUGAGAGGGUGAUCGGCCACAUUGGGACUGAGAUACGGCGCAGACUCCUACGGGAGGCAGCAGUGGGGAAUAUUGCACAAUGGGCGGAAGCCUGAUGCAGCGACGCCGCGUGAGGGAUGACGGCCUUCGGGUUGUAAACCUCUUUCAGCAGGGACGAAGCGUAAGUGACGGUACCUGCAGAAGAAGCACCGGCUAACUAUGUG
rnacentral:rRNA from 1 species